GCGCAACUGCGGCCGCCGCGGCCAGCAAAUUGCCUGCUUCCGGGCCUCAUUACAUCACUCUGUUACUCUGUUAACGCUCGCCGGAAACCCCUCUGCCUACCUCGUCUAAACUCUCUCUCGCAUGUACCAACACACACUAUUUAAAUGCACUGUGUCGCGGACGAUGCGGCCGCGCGUACUUUCAAUACGAAAGAGGGAGAAAACGAUACAUGCGUCUACCUUGCUGCGUUUUCUUACCGGAUGAUUCGAUGAUGGUUGAGCGCUCUUUUGAUGAACAGGCAAUUACAUGAUGGUUUGCUUGGUUUCUUGUAACUCUGGUGAUUAGUAUGACGAGAAAAGCAGAAAUACUAGUACAACGAUAAAAACCGGAACGACUUCCAUGAUCACGAUCCAUGCUUAAUACAUGACAAAGUUCAUCGAUGAAAAGAGAGGACAGCGAGGAAAACAUGGAUAUUACCUGAACGAGGCGCUCUUCCUCUAAAAACAGGAAUUCUUUAACGACGAAAAUAGAGCCAAACGAUAACCAGUGAACACAACCCGCAGAAAACAAGAACACCUAUUUAACGAUGGACUCGAGUAAGUCUUGAAUUCUUCUUGGUGCAACAAAGAUUUCCGAAUUAAACAGUAAAGAGAAAAGAAGAGCAAAGACAAAAAUGGAUGUAACCAAUCAAAGGCUAACUUAAAAUUUUAAAUUUUAACUUUAAAUUGUAGAAUCUAGGUGUAUGAAGUAAUAAUGAAAAAAAUAUUAAGUGAACUUUUAGAAUUUCUUUUUGCAGUCUGAAUGUUAAGGAUGUCAAAAUUCAAUGAUGCAAAUUGAUUGCGAAUAAUUGUAAAUGGAACGUUGCCUUAAUUGAUCUUUAAUGGGUUAAGAAAUCUUACAUAAGAGAUAUUAUGACACGAAACAAAAAACGAUAAUACAAGAGAGACAAAUGGGGGAGGAUUUGCAGAAUUUACGAGGCGUUAAAAAAAUGAAUAACAACGUGGUGUAGAAUGCGGGCCAAUAAAAGAGACGGCAGGAAAAAUUGCGAACGUGGGCGGUAAUUUAGCGUUGAAGAUACACGCCGGAGCGGUUAAUACGCGAAACAUGCGUGCAGACAGGUGAGGCUGGUGUUCACGAGGGUGUACACAGUGUAUAUCAUAAACACGAACCGGUAAAACCCGUGGGAAAGAAUCGGGAAUAAUAAACGUGCCGAUUUUUAUUCAGCGGUUAUCGGAAAUUCGCCCACGAGGCGAUAAAUGUUCGGAUAGUUCCACUACUGUACACCUCUAAAUCAUUGUAGUUAUUUUUCAGGAAUGGUGGAAGCGACAUUACACCCUGUCUGGCCGUAUGUAUGAGUGUAACGGUAAAAUGAUUUAUACAAAUCUCAUGAUCUUGUAACUAUGUCAAAUAGAAAUUUGACUUAGACUUAAUAAUCAUUAAAUGCGUUAUAUAUCAAUGGAACAUCGUUUAUUAGCGUCCGAAAUUGUGUUAUCAUUUUUUCUAUACUUAAAUGUUUUAUUAUGAAAUUAAUACUAUAAUGUAUAAUGUAUUUGCUACAACAGGAUCUUUUGUUCAUGAUGUUAAUAUGGAAACUGUCACUUCGCCGGUCUUUUCUUAUUGUCAAAAUAAGCUUAAUUCCAAGACAAAGCAGACAGAUAAAACUCAGUCAUUGUAGAGUCAUUGACUUCCGAGCUAUCAGGACAUUUAUUUCAGAGUUGUUUUAAGCUCUUAUUUCCUAUACUAUUUAUUACAAUUUUCUACAACAUUCUUACUUACUAUACUAUUUAUUACAUUAUUCUUAUACAAUUACAACUACAAAAUCAUUAACUUUCAAACUACAUAAAUAGUACUCUUAUUUUGGUUAAACAUAUUCCAAAUUCUUACUUACUACAUUGCUUACUAAGCUGUUUUCAUAUUACAGUUUUCAUAUUAUAGGUACAAUAAUAUAUGCAAUCACAAUCAACUAAAAAAUCCAAAAUGAGAUCCA